UCUAUUUCCUUCUUGCUGGCCAGUUGGCCUCUCUGUGGACCGACUGUCUUUCAGCAUUACCUCCUCAGUGCAGGAGGACUUUAGCGACACCACUUUGGCUCCUGGCAGGUCACACUUGCGCACCUGCCCAGGAGCUGCCUGGACUCUUGAAUGAGAGACAGACACACACAUGAGCCUGUGCCAGUUAAUUUCAAUAUGCCUUGACUCACUCAAAGGCUGGGCAGUUCUAAUCCUCCACCCAGCUAGCAUGCAUUUCCCUCCAGUAUUCCUGGCUCCUAAGCCUUCCCCUGCUACCUCAGGCCCAAUCGGGGAAGUGGCCAGUGGCCAUUUACUCCAAUUCUUACUGAUUGGCUGAUUGGCUUUCUCUCCUUCCCAUGGUGAUUCUCCUUCCUUCCUCCCAGUUCCUAGCUGGAGCAAAUCUAAAGGCCUCAGUGUACCUAGCCGAAGCAAAUCUAAACGUCCCGCCUCAGUGUACCUGACCAGCCAUUGGCCACUGUCUCUUUAUUGGUUGACCCAAAACCAAUUGGGGACAAGAACCCCAUUUGGACCUGCAGAUUCCAGAUUCAGGGGCUGGAUCAAUUCAAAGCAUUAGAACCAAUCCCCAACACCUAGGGAUGGUUAGGAACCGUAGUCUAGGAUGUUCCGGCUGAAAGAUCCUUCUUAAUUCCAACCCGAUACCUCUUUCUCCUUCACCGUUUGUAGCCCAGUCGUCCUCCGUCUUCAUAAGCAUGGAAGAGGACUUCAUGAAGCCUGUCAUCGACAUCGUGGAUACGUUGCUGGAACUCGGGGUCAAUGUGACUGUGUACAAUGGGCAGCUGGAUCUCAUUGUGGACACCAUAGGUUCCUGCUGACCAAGGGGACAUGGCUCUGAAGAUGAUGAGGCUGGUUACUCAGCAGGAGUAGCUGAGCUGAGCUGGCCCUGGAGGCCCUGGAGGCCCUGGAGUAGGGCCCAGGAUGCAGGUGCUAAUGUCUAUCCCCGGCGCUCUUCUUCCC
rnacentral:lncRNA from 1 species